rnacentral:lncRNA from 1 species
UCCUGGGGUUAAAGGUGUGUACUACUUUGCCUGAGUCUAAACUUUUCAUGGCCACUAUGCCUCAACAUCUCCAUACCAAGAUUCAUUUAAGAAACUUGUCUUCCAGCCUCAAGAUCUGGUGAGCCCUCCAAUUCUGGAUUAUAGUUCAUUCCAGAUAUAGUCAAGUUGACAACAAGGAAUAACCAUUACAGUAACACAGUCACAGAGUUAAACACAAACUCAAAAGAGUCAAAACAGAUAAUGAGAAGUGUUCUUUGCACUCCCGCCCCCAACCUCUGCCUUGCCUCACGGCCCAGCUCCCUCCAAGUCGACCCUUCAACGUCCGUAUUCACAAAGGCACUUGCUUCAUCAUCUGCAGCAAAAUGUGGAGACAUGAAGGAUACUGUGUCAAGUGACAGAAGAGACAGACGCAGAGUGAACAACCAGCACCACAGGUUUCCUCUUACACGUGGAAGCUGAAUAAGUUUCCCUAACUGUAGAACAGUGUGAUGGUUUGAAUAUGCUUGGCCCAGGGAGUGGCACUAUUUGGAGUUGU